CGAUGAAGCCCUUCGGGGUGGAUUAGUGGCGAACGGGUGAGUAACACGUGGGCAAUCUGCCCUUCACUCUGGGACAAGCCCUGGAAACGGGGUCUAAUACCGGAUAACACUCUGUCCCGCAUGGGACGGGGUUAAAAGCUCCGGCGGUGAAGGAUGAGCCCGCGGCCUAUCAGCUUGUUGGUGGGGUAAUGGCCUACCAAGGCGACGACGGGUAGCCGGCCUGAGAGGGCGACCGGCCACACUGGGACUGAGACACGGCCCAGACUCCUACGGGAGGCAGCAGUGGGGAAUAUUGCACAAUGGGCGAAAGCCUGAUGCAGCGACGCCGCGUGAGGGAUGACGGCCUUCGGGUUGUAAACCUCUUUCAGCAGGGAAGAAGCGAAAGUGACGGUACCUGCAGAAGAAGCGCCGGCUAACUACGUGCCAGCAGCCGCGGUAAUACGUAGGGCGCAAGCGUUGUCCGGAAUUAUUGGGCGUAAAGAGCUCGUAGGCGGCUUGUCACGUCGGGUGUGAAAGCCCGGGGCUUAACCCCGGGUCUGCAUUCGAUACGGGCUAGCUAGAGUGUGGUAGGGGAGAUCGGAAUUCCCUGGUGUAGCGGUGAAAUGCGCAGAUAUCACGGAGGAACACCGGUGGCGAAAGGCGGAUCUCUGGGCCAUUACUGACGCUGA
rnacentral:rRNA from 1 species